ACGUGACCUCGGGGAUCAGUUAGGAAUACCCGGCUGAACUUAAGCAUAUCA
rnacentral:rRNA from 1 species